AGAAGGGACAAGGAAAGAGAUCAGGGCAGAAAGCAGAGUGCUCUCUCUCUCUGUGUGUGUGUGUGUGUGUCUGCGGCUGUGUGUGCGAGUUUUCACCACACAGCGUGCAGGAAUGAGGCUGAACCUGUCCGAGGCCCAGCCCCGCGCCCCGGCGCCCCGGCGCUCCGGCGCUCCUCGCCCGCACUUUGACGGCCGGUCUACCGCAGACUCGCUGAAUUUUAACCGGCCUCGGAGCCGAAGCGGCGCCGCGCGGAGGGAGAGUGGGAUCCUGUGCAAGGCCAGGGAUUACAGAGCGAUACGUUUGCAGGAGGAGAGUUACAUAACUAUAAUAUAUAGGUCUACUAUGAAUAUAGCCAACGCCAGUGUCCAUGGGCGUGAAUUUAGUCGGGCCUCUUUGCCCUCACAGACGUGCCCGUUACGUCUCAGCCCCGGUUCAGGAUGGGAUGAGGAACGUACCCCGGUUGUUACUCACACCUGAUCCAGGUUUUUGAUGGUUUUGUGCAGGAGAGUCUUCGCCUCCUCCACGUCGCGGGCAGUCUGUCAUUUCUUCCACUGAGAAGCAGAGUUGCAGCCGCCCUUACGCACAGCCAUCGACUGAAAACACUGACGGUUUCGACAGAUGUCACUUCGGGCGCAACAUCUGGAUUUAUAGCCAAAAUAAAUGAUUAACCCAAAAACAAAAAAAAGCCUGGAUUGGUCCUGGUGUCGAUGCCGUGGAGGACACACCUGCGCUGC